rnacentral:rRNA from 1 species
GACGAACGCUGGCGGCGUGCCUAAUACAUGCAAGUGGGACGCAAGAGAACACACUGUGCUUGCACACCGUGUUUUCUUGAGUCGCGAACGGGUGAGUAACGCGUAGGUAACCUGCCUAUUAGCGGGGGAUAACUAUUGGAAACGAUAGCUAAUACCGCAUAAUAUUAAUUAUUGCACGAUAAUUGAUUGAAAGAUGCAAGCGCAUCACUAGUAGAUGGACCUGCGUUGUAUUAGCUAGUUGGUAAGGUAAGAGCUUACCAAGGCGACGAUACAUAGCCGACCUGAGAGGGUGAUCGGCCACACUGGGACUGAGACACGGCCCAGACUCCUACGGGAGGCAGCAGUAGGGAAUCCUCGGCAAUGGACGAAAGUCUGACCGAGCAACGCCGCGUGAGUGAAGAAGGUUUUCGGAUCGUAAAGCUCUGUUGUAAGUCAAGAACGUGUGUGAGAGUGGAAAGUUCACACAGGACGUAGCUACCAGAAAGGC